AAUAUAUAGUUACUAACAUGUAACAAAUAAAAUUGAUGUUCAAAUCAUCCACAACCAUCAAAUAUAACAAUAAAAUUACUCCAAAUCUCUAAACUUAAUAAAAACGUGCAUAUAAACCCUAUUCUGAUUUCGCAUCAUUAUCCAAUAAACACAUAAGUGACACUGCCGUCAAAUAAUUAUUAAUCUGACCAAAUUCAAGGAAUGCCAUUGUCAGAUAAAAUUUUAAAGGGCUUCAAAUUAAAUUGGAUGAAUUUGAGAGAUAGUGAUAGUGGUAAAAUUUUGUGGCAAGAAAAUGAUGAUAUAUCAAAACCUGGAGUAGAACAUAUGGCUAAAAUCCCUAAAAAAAUUUUAAGGUGUAAAGCCAUUUCAAGAGAAUUAAAUUUUUUUUCUGCAGAAUCUAUGGAAAAAUUUAGAUUAGAACAAAAAGUAUUAUUUAAUGGAAUAUGUCUGGAAAAUUGGUAUUUUGAAUUUGGUUUUGUAAUACCAGGGAGUACAAAUACCUGGCAAUCAUUAAUUGAGGCAGCUCCUGAAAGUCAAAUGAUACCUGCCAAUUUGUUAAAACUUUGCAGAUCUUUAUACUACAUUAUCACUCCUUGCCUGCGUCCCAAAGGAAGAUAUUGGCAUUCCGUUUGAUAAUUUGGCAGAAAUAUUUCGAUAAAUAUAUGUCCUCCAACCUUAUUUCCUUCUUUGAGUAAACUUAUAUUCUAUGGGAACGUGGUAAUAGAAACAAAUUUUUAUGAUGGAGAUGAUUUAAUAAGCACAUCUAAGGUUCGAUUAUACUACACCUAAAUCAAUCAAAUUCUAACGAUGUCCAACUCACAAUUGUUAUAGAGAUCAGACUAAUACAAA